rnacentral:rRNA from 1 species
AUUGAACGCUGGCGGCAUGCCUUACACAUGCAAGUCGAACGGCAGCACGGGUGCUUGCACCUGGUGGCGAGUGGCGAACGGGUGAGUAAUACAUCGGAACAUGUCCUGUAGUGGGGGAUAGCCCGGCGAAAGCCGGAUUAAUACCGCAUACGAUCCACGGAUGAAAGCGGGGGACCUUCGGGCCUCGCGCUAUAGGGUUGGCCGAUGGCUGAUUAGCUAGUUGGUGGGGUAAAGGCCUACCAAGGCGACGAUCAGUAGCUGGUCUGAGAGGACGACCAGCCACACUGGGACUGAGACACGGCCCAGACUCCUACGGGAGGCAGCAGUGGGGAAUUUUGGACAAUGGGCGAAAGCCUGAUCCAGCAAUGCCGCGUGUGUGAAGGAGGCCUUCGGGUUGUAAAGCACUUUUGUCCGGAAAGAAAUCCUUGGCUCUAAUACAGUCGGGGGAUGACGGUACCGGAAGAAUAAGCACCGGCUAACUACGU